UACGGGGGGGCAAGCGUUGUUCGGAAUUACUGGGCGUAAAGGGCUCGUAGGCGGCCAACUAAGUCACACGUGAAAUCCCUCGGCUCAACCGGGGAACUGCGUGUGAGACUGGAUGGCUUGAGUUUGGGAGAGGAAUGCGGAAUUCCAGGUGUAGCGGUGAAAUGCGUAGAUAUCUGGAGGAACACCGGUGGCGAAGGCGGCAUUCUGGACCAACACUGACGCUGAGGAGCGAAAGCCAGGGGAGCAAACGGG
rnacentral:misc_RNA from 1 species